rnacentral:rRNA from 1 species
CCUACGGGAGGCUGCAGUGGGGGAUAUUGCACAAUGGGGGGAACCCUGAUGCAGCGACGCCGCGUGGGUGAAGAAGCGCCUCGGCGCGUAAAGCCCUGUCAGCAGGGAAGAAAAUGACGGUACCUGAAGAAGAAGCCCUGGCUAACUACGUGCCAGCAGCCGCGGUAAUACGUAGGGGGCAAGCGUUAGCCGGAUUUACUGGGUGUAAAGGGGGCGCAGACGGCGAUGCAAGCCAGGAGUGAAAGCCCGGGGCUCAACCCCGGGACUGCUCUUGGAACUGCGUGGCUGGAGUGCAGGAGGGGCAGGCGGAAUUCCUGGUGUAGCGGUGAAAUGCGUAGAUAUCAGGAGGAACACCGGUGGCGAAGGCGGUCUGCUGGACUGCAACUGACGUUGAGGCCCGAAAGCGUGGGGAGCAAACAGGAUUAGAUACCCUAGUAGUC